UAGGAAUAAAACUGUAAUGCCAAGUUCAUGAUUUCUUAGUGUGUUGCUAGGGAAGUGAUAUUAGCAAUAUUAGAAAUCAGCAUUGCGGAUUGUGCAGCAGUUGAAUGUGAUAGAAACUGAAAACACUGAUGUGUUAGCAGAAGCAGAUUUCAUUUCAAGGCAAAUAUCAUUGAUAUUUUGGAAAAACAUUGAAGAAAAAGAGGACGGUGUAUCAGAGGAAAUGAAAGAGAGUAACACUGACCAUACGAUGAUAUGAUGAAGAUUAGCUGCAAAAAGUAAUCAGCAUCAGUGCUAAAAUCAACUUUCGCUUUUCUAGAAUAGUACCUCAGGUAAGCAGUAAAUUCAACACAGGCACAUGAAAAUUUACAUUAAUUUAUCCAUAAAUUAUGCCAAUAGA
rnacentral:lncRNA from 1 species